ensembl:lncRNA
AUGGUUCCACCCAAGUUGCCCCAGCAUGGACGAUCAUACUCCCAGUGUAAUGGGGAUGCCUCUGGACAUCUGUCUGCUGAGCCUGUGGAAAUGGAACCAGAAACCAUGGAAUUUAAAUCCGUCACAGCAAGCGGGUUGCCUUCGUCAACAUCUGUGAUCACUGCAGUGCGUUGUAGCAAGCAGCCACUAUCCGUCACAAUGUCACAAACUGAGAAAAACACUCAGAAAGAAAGCAGUUCCAAUCACAGUAAGGAUCUCAUAUACAAGAAUGGAUCUUUUUUCACUUCAAAAGAAAAGUCAUGUGCUCCUGAUGAAAAAGAAACACUUAAAUGUGAGAGGGUAAGCAAUGGUCCUGAAAAGUUGUUGAAAAAACUACAGAACCAAUCCCAGUCCAGUUCUACUGUAAAGCAAAUUGGUCCUCCUCCAGUUCCUCCUAAACCCACGUCACCCAUCAGUCUACACCCAUUGUCUCUACCUGCCAGCUCUCCGGUCUCCCCAACUGAUCCAGACAAAGGGGUUUUUAAGGAUACAGUAAGUCCACCAAAUGGAAUACACCUUUGGAGUAGUCGCAAUGGUAGCAUUCAGUCAGGUCCAAGGAGGGUGUCUCUGAGUCAUGAGAGCCUAUCACCCAAAACUUCAGAUGCAUCAAUAACCAUUACCACCUCCUUGACCACUUCCAAUUCCAAAGGCAUAGGUGGCCAAGAAAGCAAAGAACCUGGAAGAUCUGGAUCUGGAUCUGAUCUAAGAACUAGCUCUUCAAGUCUGGGAGGAAGAUUACCAGCUUCAGCCCUGAGAGGAAAGAUCCAGUCUCUGCCAUGGUACAUGACACGCUCACAGGAAAUUCUAGGGACUCUGGAUUACCCCUCCACAAGUUCUAUCAAUGGAGACACAUCUGGCUUUGGCUCCGGUUUAUCUGUAGCAAGUGGUUUAUCAGAUUUAAACAAGACUCCUGUCAAAGACAAGGAAACUGUUUCCUUAAAGUCAGAAUACAAAGGGAGUAUUUUGGAUGACGGUGCUGAGGUUGUCAUUGCAACUAUCAAAGAAGCCCAGGAAGUGGCUUACCAUAUGAAUAAGACUAAUAGGUCAACUGGAUCAAAGCCCAAUCUUAGCCUUAGAGAAAAUUGUGCAGAUAGCUGCAGCAUCUCAUCAGAACAACCUCAGUCAUGGUGUAAUUCAGCUUUGGGCUUGGGAGGUGUGUCUAGCAUGGACAUUGGCGGAGACUCUCCAACUUCAUCGGCAGCAGACACCACUCCUCCACAGCAACACCGUGAUGCCUGUGGCUGUCGCACCGUUUACACAAAUUGCUUCAGUGUUGACUCUGAAGACGGUAUUAGCUUUGAUGAAGAGCUCACUGUUUAUGAAUUCUCCCGACGCAUACAUACUAAACCCGUCCAACCCAUACCUGCCCCUUCUCCAACGGUACCUUCUCCAAAACCUAACAUUUUGUCAUUGCUAAAGGACAACCCCCGUCCCUUGUCUACUUUUUCGACUGCCUCUUCUGAGCUAAGUCCUCUGGUGUCAUGUCCAGUUUCACCAACAACCUCGCUUGGUGGUCCCCUUCGUUCCCUCACCAAAAAGAACUAUUCUGGGUUAAAGGGAGGCUUUGCUUCUCUACAUCAAGACAUAGAGCAGCUACUUCUGGUACUAGAGGGAGGGGCACCGGAGAAUCCACAUCAGCAUUUAAAAUCAGAGAGGACAUUCUUAAAAGGAGGGCCGGACCUUAAUCACAAUGCAACUGAAGACAGUGCUAUGCCUGUAUCAAGUCUGUGUUGCACUGGGGAAAGAUCUGCCAUCAUGACGGAGGCUGAGAGGAGUCUUCUCCAGGCAGAAGCUCGACGUCUGGCAUCUGGAUGUCAGCGGGCAACACGUGUCGGCUGGGCUCCUGAUGAGGCACUACGUUCAUUAUCCAAUAGCUUUAGUGCCCUGGUUCAGCUGUCUGCAGCCUGCCUGCGAACAAAUCCCUGUCCUGGUUGUGACUUCUGCCAUAAAGCAAACUCAACGCACAGCGAUGAGGACAGCAGUGGCCAGCAGGCUAUGGACAAGAUAAAAGAAAUUGUGGGUCUGUACCAUGAGUUUGUCAGGGCUGUUGAGUCAGCUGGGACUGGUACCGGAGUCGGAAGUAGAAACGAAGGGCUCGGCGGGUCUGCACAGGCGCAAGGGGAUGGCGAUGGCGUGAAGCUGCUUGCCAAACGCUGCACUGUGCUCAUCUCGUCAGUAUUCGCACUCACACAACUCUUCCGGACACAAACCCCAGACACCACAGAGACAGCAGGGCAUGUACCUCUCAACUUUUGA